AACCUGAAAACAAAUAUGAUGGUAAUAUUUGUCUCUGCCGUCGCAUAACACGCACAUGGACCGAUCGUUAUAACAGUAGCGAGCAUGAGCAAGGGAGAACCUGAAUCAUUUGUUGAGGUCCUUCAGUUGGUUUCUUCAAGAAUAGCUUAACAGUGGCAGUUAGAAGCUGCAGCUGAACCUGUGCUGGUUCCUCAGGAAAACUCUCAAGGAAACUUUCAAGUAGCUCAUCCGCAUUGUCAAUUCUUUCAGCAUAUUCACCAAUGAUCCAUAUCAUAGAUGCCUUACAUGAUACAAACAGAUGCACGAGUAAAAGUUUAGCUAAAGUGAAGAAGUGAAACUUCAAUUUUACAAAACAAGAUAGUCCAUUACCUUAGCUUCUGGUUCAUCCAAAGUGUCUAAACUCUCACAGAGUGUGGCAAUUAUGGACUCAUACCUGUAUGUUAUUUUGAAUAUCAUAAAAUUAAAAUAUAAUUUUCAACAUGCCAUUACGUCAGUGACUGAGAAAUGUCAACUUACGUGUUUGGAUAUCUUCUGAAGAUAUCUUUAAUGACAAUAAUGGCCUCCUGAACAACAUAAUUUACUUUGAUCUUGAUCAAUUCAAGCAAAACACUGAUGCAACGUUCGGCUGCUCUCUCUAGUUUGAUAGCACAUCGACCUAUCGCACGAACAGCCCUUCUAACAAAAUCAACAUCUACUUCCGUUGCAUACUCUUUAAAUUCCAGAAGAACCUACAGUAGCAUUUUCCAAAAAUUAUAAAGAUAUGUACCAACAAUAAUCGGGAUAUACUACAGAUGGUUUAGUGAGGAUACCUGGUCUAUGUUUCUGUCAGACGCAAGUUUUAUCAUAAUCUCCAACUUCUCCAUCUUAACAUAAAUUGGGUCGUUAUACUUGCAGAAGAAAACCUAAUAGAAUAAAAUAUGCAUAUCAUUUGCAACAUAAUUAAGAACUAUUACGAAGCUAUAGGGAACAGGUCAGUUGCUUAUUUUGAAUGAGGAUCUAUGGGGCACAGGUCAAGCUACCUUAAUUUCAUGGGCAAGGAUAGUGGGUCGUUUCUGAACAAUAAGAUUAAUGUUACGAAGUGCAACAUAUUGUAUCUCAGGUUCGGCAGAAAGCAAUGUAACAAGGGGUGGAGCCAUCUUCUUGCAAAGAUUUCGAAUCACGUCUGUACUAGUAAUGAGUUCCAUCUGUUGAAGGAUCAUCUGCAGAGGUAAUUGCCAAAAGUGCAAAUGCAUUAUAUAAUAUGCAAAUGGGAGUAGUAGUGUUGUAGAAGCAAAUUUAGCUAGCAACAGAGGAUAACAUUACUAUGAAAGUCACCCACCUUAACAGCUGAAAGCACAACAGCGCAGUUUGCAUGUUGCAACCUUGGCGUGACUCUCUCAACAAUAUUUUCAGCUUCACGGGGAUCAGCUGCUUUAUACCUCGAUAGAGCAUCUAAUAUAAAAACUUGACCCCACCUGUAAAGAUCUUCAUAAUCAGUACUAAAAGUGAAGCUAGCAAAAGCUUAAAGAAACAAAGGACAUAGCAAUUUCAUAACUCAUCGACAUUCGACAAACCACAUAUAAUUAGGACAAUACUCUGUAUAUUCUUAAAAGCGUACAAUGAAUGACCAAUAUAUUCAAUAUCAAACAAAAUGCAAUGAAGCUACAGAAAUGGAGAUAAGGAGAAGACAUACUCGGUGCAUUCAUUAAGAGCGGUAAGGAGCUUUGUAAGGGUGGUACUAUUGAUCUCAAAUAUGGGGCUAGUACUAUUCUCUUGAAUCUCAGCAAGGGCUGCUACAGCAUUGGCAACAACCAUCGGAUUAUUAUCUGAUAUCAGAUCCUUCAAAGCGUCAAGGAAACCCCUAUCCUCAACCAAUUCAGCAUUUAUGUCAUAAAGCUUAGCAACGCAAAUAGCAGCUGUCUUCCGGACAUAUGGAUCAUCAUCCUAAAGAAAAGAUUAUGCAAACGAUAGUAAGAAAAUACUAGUCCAAAUGGAACAGAUUCUUCAAGACAGUAGGAUAUGUUUGCUAUCAAGUUCCAAUGAAGAGCUAGCAUUUCAAUCCCAACCUUUAGGCACUUUUGAAGAGGAUCACAUAGAUAUUCUGUGAUUUUGUCAACACGAAUGCAGCCCAUUGUCCGCACAGCAAGAGCGCGGAUCAGCGGAUUUGGAUCCUGUGAGUCCUGCAGAUUACAAACCAACAAUUUUGUAAAGAUCACUUCAGUUCAAAACGAUAGGUCAGAAUCUUGAGUGUUACCUUGACAAAGGUAUUAACCGCAAGAAUAGCAAGAUCUGGCUGGCUUUUCGCGUAAUUGAUGAGAUAGAGGUAAACAAGCUUCUUCAGCUCCAGAUUUUCCGUUUGCAUGCAAUUGACUACAUCAGUGAAAAGUGAUGAAACAUCCUUUCCAACGGUCAUUGCCGCAAUAACCUUCUUAACUGCAUCUUUUCUCUUAUCCUACGUAACAUAAAGUUUACGAGAAAAAAAAAAGGUAAAACAAAACUGAAGCCAAUAAAUAAAACAGCAUCCUUCCUUUCUUACAUCUUAUCGAACAGCGACUCUGAUAUAGAAAUUCUACAUAGAAUCCAAGAAUGCGACAAUUGAAAACGAACUGAACAAAACAGAACAGUUCUCACCAAGCACAAUCGCAAACAGAUUAAACAGUUGUUGAUCCACAAACCUAAGCUCUGUUAAAGUUACUACGAGACUGCACACAUACCUAAAACUUCUCAAUCUAAUUCUUGAUAUACAUCCCUAAUCAAUUUCAUAUCAUAUAACCAUAAGCGGAGACUCCCGAUAAGGUUCAAAUCCAGACAACCCAGAUCUAACGAAAUUAUGUAAUAACGGCGGAUCAAAGAUCAAUAGAUUGUACAUGUAAUAAUGGCAGAUCACAGAUCACAGAUCACAGAAAUAGAGACAAAGAGUGAGAUCAGAUGAAAGAACCUUAUACUGCGAAUUAAGCUCCUCCUUGAGCUCAGGGAUUUCUCCCUUCUUCGUCGUCGAAAAGUAUUUCGAAUCGUGACCGCUCAUCGCUCUGAGAUUUUGUUAGAGAGAGAGAGAGGGAGAUAAUGAAUGAUGACUGGGGAAAUGGUGGAAACGGAAGACUCCGGUGUGGCUGGCUGCUUUACUCCGCUAACGGGCCCAUUGACUAAUGGGCUCUCUUAUAGUUUCAGCUCAUUUUAAAUUCUAAUGUACACUAAACCUCUCUAUCUAUAUAUAUAUAUAUAUAUCUAUUAUAUAUUAAAGCGCAAGUCGCAUGACCAAUCAAAUUUUGACACAUGAAUUAUUACAAAAUUAUAUUUAAAAUAAUAAACCAAAGAUAAAAUCAAAUAAAGCAAAAUAUAAAACACGUUAUUAAGGCUUAACAGAAUUACAUGUAAGUUUACAUUAUUACAAUAUAAGUAAUUACUAAUACUCCAACAGUUCUUUCCCACACCUCCACUCCACGAUCGCCAAUUACCACUUACCAGCAAUCUCUUGGAAAACUACCUUUAUUCCACCAUUUAUAUGUGUGAGGUGUUACUCUAUGUUCGUGUAAUAAUUUAUGUCCAACACAGAAAAAGAAAAUUUCUCUCCUACUCAAAUCAACAAAUAUUCCAACACAGGCAUGCAAGUUUUUCUAUUUGAGGUAAAUUGGCAUUUAAAGGAAAAGCCUAAAUUACAAACAAAAUGAAGGAACAUUCUCUGCAACAAACAGAAUACAAGAGGAGAAUCGUGCAUAAUCUGAAACCAGUGGUAUCGUUAUUUGUUCUUUGAUUCUCUCUUUCUCGUGUUACUCUUUUAAAAUCCUCUGUUUUGUUUUGUAGCCGUCAUAUACUUGAAGAAAUCUCACCCCAAAGCUAACAAAAAUUAUGUGAAGCUGUUUUCAAAAUUUGUGUAAAGACAACCAAAAAGCCUAACAUUCUAAGGAGAAAACGAGUGUGUCAACAACUUCAAUGAAGCAAAUUGGGUAUUUACAAAUCUGUUUGUCUAUAAAAGAGCAUAUUCAUCUAAAAACGUAAGUCUGUCAUUUAAAAACCACCCACCUCAGGAUCAGUAGACAGAAGACGCCAGUAUAUGUAUGCACGAUCUCUGAGAUCAGGAUUAUCCGUCUCCACAGUAGCGUUGUUCAAGACAACCUGAAAACAAAUAUGAUGGUAAUAUUUGUCUCUGCCGUCGCAUAACACGCACAUGGACCGAUCGUUAUAACAGUAGCGAGCAUGAGCAAGGGAGAACCUGAAUCAUUUGUUGAGGUCCUUCAGUUGGUUUCUUCAAGAAUAGCUUAACAGUGGCAGUUAGAAGCUGCAGCUGAACCUGUGCUGGUUCCUCAGGAAAACUCUCAAGGAAACUUUCAAGUAGCUCAUCCGCAUUGUCAAU
rnacentral:lncRNA from 1 species